rnacentral:rRNA from 1 species
AGCAGCCGCGGUAAUUCCAGCUCCAAUAGCGUAUAUUAAAGUUGUUGCAGUUAAAAAGCUCGUAGUUGAAUUUCGGGAUCAAUACGUCUGUCGUGCCUUUGGUACGUACGGGUGUAAUUGGUUUCUACCUUCUGAGGAUCCUUGAUGUCAUUAAUUUGGUGUCUUGGGGAAUCAGGACUGUCACCUUGAAAAAAUUAGAGUGUUUAAAGCAGGCAUACGCUUGAAUACAUUAGCAUGGAAUAAUGAAAUAGGACGUUCGAUUCUAUUUUGUUGGUUUCUAGGAUCGACGUAAUGAUUAAUAGGGAUAGUUGGGGGCAUUAGUAUUCAAUUGUCAGAGGUGAAAUUCUUGGAUUUAUUGAAGACUAACUACUGCGAAAGCAUUUGCCAAGGAUGUUUUCAUUAAUCAAGAACGAAAGUUAGGGGAUCGAAGACGAUCAGAUACCGUCGUAGUCUUAACCAUAAACUAUGCCGACUAGGGAUCGGAUGAUGUUAAUUUUUAAUGACUCAUUCGGCGCCUUAA